rnacentral:rRNA from 1 species
CUUGAACGCUGGCGGCAGGCCUAACACAUGCAAGUCGAGCGGAUGAAGGGAGCUUGCUCCUGGAUUCAGCGGCGGACGGGUGAGUAAUGCCUAGGAAUCUGCCUGGUAUUGCGGGAUAACGUCCUGAAACGGGCGCUAAUACCGCCUACUUCCUGAGGGAGAAAGUUGGGGAUCUUCGGACCUCACGCUCUCAGAUGAGUCUAGGUCGGAUUAGCUAGCUGGUGGGGUAAAGGCCUACCAAGGCGAGGAUCCGUAACUAGUCUGAGCGGAUGAUCAGUCACACUGGAACUGAGACACGGUCCAGACUACUACGGUAGGGAGCAGUGGGGAAUAUUGGACAGUAGGCGAAAGCCUGAUACAGCCAUGCGGAGUGUGUGACGAAGGUGUUCGGAUUGUAAAGAACUUUAAGUUGGGAGGAAGGGCAGUAAGUUAAUACGUUGCUGUUUUGACGUUACCAACAGAAUAAGCACCGGCUAACUUCGUG